UACGUAGGGGGCAAGCGUUGUCCGGAAUCAUUGGGCGUAAAGCGCGCGUAGGCGGCCCGGUAAGUCCGCUGUAAAAGUCCAGGGCUCAACCCUGGAAAGCCGGUGGAUACUGUCGGGCUCGAGUCCGGAAGAGGCGAGUGGAAUUCCUGGUGUAGCGGUGGAAUGCGCAGAUAUCAGGAGGAACACCAGUGGCGAAGGCGGCUCACUGGCCCGGUACUGACGCUGAGGUGCGAAAGCGUGGGGAGCAAACAGG
rnacentral:rRNA from 1 species